rnacentral:rRNA from 1 species
UACGGAGGGAGCUAGCGUUGUCCGGAAUUAUUGGGCGUAAAGAGCUCGUAGGCGGUCUGUCGCGUCGAUCGUGAAAACUUGGGGCUUAACCCUGAGCUUGCGGUCGAUACGGGCAUGACUGGAGUUCGGCAGGGGAGACUGGAAUUCCCGGUGUAGAGGUGAAAUUCGUAGAUAUCGGGAGGAACACCAGUGGCGAAGGCGGCGAUCUGGGAAGAUACUGACGCUGAGGUGCGAAAGCGUGGGGAGCAAACAGG